GAGUAUAUUCCAUGCAGUAUUUGCGAUUUGGGUAUACUGAAAAAUUUCUGGAGGCCUGAGAGGCAUUGAGGACGCAGAGUCUCUGGUAGGUGUGACAGUGGGGACUUGAGACCAUGGGUCACACACUGGACUGCUGUGUAACAAACUGCCACACACAGCUUGUCCCGCUUAAGGGAGGAAACCCGCUCCUUUCACGAGGCGGAAAUCCGGGUGUUGGCGGCCCGAGCUCUUUUCAGGAGGCGCUGGGGAGAACCAGCUUUCAAGCUCAUCCAGGCCGCUGGCAGAACUCAGUUCCUUGCGCCUGCAGGACUGAGGUCCCCAUUCCAUGGGUGGCUGUAAGUCGGGGACUCUCGGCUCCCAGAGGCCACCCUCGCUCCUCGCCGUGUAUCCCCUCCAUCUUCAAGCCAGGAACAGCAUCGAACUCUUCUGCAGCUUCCAAUCUCUGAUUUCUCCAUCUGUCUUCAGGCCCCAAUUUAAAGGCUCGUGUGACCAAGUCGGGCCCAUCCAAGUCAAGGUCAGCUGAUUUAGGAUUUUAAUUUCACCUCCAAAUUCCCUUCGCGCAACACCUAGAUUAGCGCUGGAUUGAGUAAGUGGUAGAAGGUGUGUGCACACCAGGGUGAGAACCUUGGGAGGGAGCAUCUCAGAAUUCUGCCCACCACGAGGACCUGCCAGGCGGAACAGCGGAAAAGGGACUUCCUGACACCUAAUGAAACUGCAGGAGUCCCAGGGCUGGGCCUGGGUCCUGGGAAACACUCACCUGGAAGUUAGGAAAAAGAUAACACGGAGGAAGAUGGCUGCGCCUCUAGAAACUCUCAUCGAUGGAGAAGGCACUGGAUUCUGCGUAACAAAGUUUAACCUGUAAACAUAAGCGCUGCCCCACACCUUUCUUUUGUCUUUAGCUGCAGAUGAGGUCUCAGCCAAAAGCUCAGAAGAGCAGAGGGAAAAUUAUUUUUCCUCCCCUACAGUUCCUGGUACACCCCACUUGCUCUGGAGCCUGCAGACAGCAUCCUGGAAAAAUGGGCCAAAGCCGGCAGAGGGUAAAAAUUCUUACCAAAGUCAGCUUUCCCGGAUCUCUGCCUGCAGUGCCCGGUUGAGAGAGGAAGGGCCCUGGCCAGAGAAGUAAGAUGGGGAGUGGAAAAAGGUUUUCAUCCUCCCAUGCAGAGGCUUUUUCCAGAAAGUGACCUGCACGCUUUUCUCCCUGAAGAUAGAACGCCAGCUUCAAGGCGGAUGACACGGCACAAAGCUACUGGGAAAGUGGAAGAUGGAUGACUGAGGUUGGGCAGCCCAUGCCCUGCUCAGUGCCGGCCCGGCCGUCUGCUGGCAGUGUGACCUUGGACGGUCGGCCGCAGCCACCCAACGGACGAGUUCGUGGAUUCCGCCAGCCUUAUGUUUUGGUUGAACAUUCAAGGGACAAGCCUGCCACCCAAAGAAAGAACGACUUGGAGCGCCGUCUCCUCGGGGCCUGAGCGCCUCGUGCCCACGGCACGUGUCUGUGGAGACCGGCCCUUCAGGAAGGAGGGCUUUUCAAACACCCCCCGGAAUGUUCCGUUCCAGAUUCAGUAGCGACCCCAAAGAGGGAAGCUCCCCAACUGGGCUUGUGAUGAAGGAUCUGGGGCCAUCAGCCCGCCUCAAGGAACCUCACGCCUCAGGGGAGACCCCUGCGGAGGGCAGAGGAAGCUAGGGAGACCCCGGGGGCAGCCCGGCUCACACCACGGAGGCCUCAGCUGAGCAAGCGAGAAACAGCCAGGACAAGGACAGUGGCCGGACUGGAGGCCCCGCCCAGAGGUGGGUCCAGCGGCCAGGCUGUCUCCUAGAUGAUAGGUAUUGAGGAAGGUGGAGAAUUAUCCAGACCAGCUGUGGUCUUUCUUGUCCCCAGAAGCAUUCUGAAGCAUUGGCAAACUGCUCCUUCUGGUAUCUGGAGCCAGCACCCUCUUCUCUGAGCCCCCGGGUGUCUCGUGCUGGUUGUUCCGUCCUGGCCAAGAAUCUUGACCUUGCUGCGGAGCUGGGCUUGUGGUGGAAGGUGAAGGACUUUGAAAUCUUGGCAGCCUGGUGCCGGCUUAAGGAAAAUCUCAAACUGGGAAGAAAAGAGAAGAGAGAAAGAGUCCACCUCAGCCCCUGGAUCUCUGGGUCCCACAGAAGCACAGAUCUCAUCAACUUAGGGGUCACAGAUCUGGGCAGAGCCCCUGUGCCCUCUCUAGGGUGGUCGUCAUUGGCAGGUGAGUUUUACCAGCGUCUUGCUUUCCAAUCUCUGUGCUUUACCUCUUUCUCUGGUCUUCCUGAGUGGGACAGGAUCCUAAUACAACGGGCAAUGGAAGCACAGACAGAGAGUGUCUUUAUCUUGUCACCGACUUUAAAGGGAAUGUUCCAAAUUUUUCACCACCGUGCGUGAUGUUCAAGGCCGUACCCCAAACUCCUC
rnacentral:lncRNA from 1 species